UUACCAACCAAAAUUCCUACCAUACUCGACCGUUGCGUCAACAAAAAUGAACGUUGCGUCCUUUUAUAACGCCGGUUCAUUCAUAUUUAUAACGCAUCAAAUGAUGAUCGUUGAUUUAACCGUCAGGGGUGUUGUGGUGUUGAUUAGUCAGACGGUUACGACGGGGGGAAUCCGGUUCUUACUCAUUUCAUAUUCCAUUCGUAAACCAAAAUCAACCCAUCAAUCAUGUUCAACAUCAAAGAUAAUCGUUACAGCAAUAGCGUGGUGGUGCUGUAGUGGAUGUGGUUUGGUGGUGGUGGUGAUGGUGAUGGUGUCGUGGAGCAGCGGUUCAGUUGUCGUGUUGUGGUGGCGCCGUGGGCUCGAUGGUAACGUUGUGAAUGAAUGAUCAGUGAAUUUGAUGUGAGAUUUCGAAAAUUGAAUGUUCAAUCGUUUGCAACAAAAUUCUCAGCCAACUGAAACGACAAUCUUAUUGUUCAUAUUCAUCAACUCAUGCUUGCGUUAAAUCAAAUCAAUCAAUCACGUUUCCGCAAAACUAAACCUACAGGUAAGAACAAACCAUAACGAAUUAUCAGUCGAACACGUGUUGAGAAAUCUAAGGGUUAGUAAUCUGGCCGCCAGUGUUUCACAUUCAGGUUUGAAGAAUAUGUUUGAGAUUCACAUAUGUGUGAGCAUCAUCGUGUUAUUUGUUGCGAAAUUACGGGUUUGAGUACUUGAAGAAUGCGGUGGAUACAAUGAGGGCGAAGAAUAAACUGCAUGGUGUCAGUGUUUAGAUUUUAAUAGAGAUAAUGUUGAAACAUGAAUUCAGUUUGACAAAAGUAUAUUGUAAUUUUUUUGUUCAUAUCUUUGUGAUCAUUGGCUAAGAAGUAUGCUCUACAAAUGUAUAUACAUGUUGCUGUGACGACCAUUUUGUUGUAA